AGCCAGUUUCUUCAGUGUGUUUGAGGGAGCAGAGGAGAAACUUUGGUGCUGAAUUAAUUCGUUUUCUGAAGGGCAAACAUAGGGAUGGAAAGCUGUUUGACACUUAUUUUUUUGUCUUCAGUGGUUACACUUAUCACUGCUAACAGUGUGAGUGUGAGGCUGGUGAAUGGUGACAGUCGCUGUGCUGGUCGAGUGGAGGUUCUUCAUGAGGGUCAGUGGGGAACAGUGUGUGAUGAUUACUGGGAUAUGACUGAUGCUGCAGUGGUGUGUAGAGAGCUGAGCUGUGGAGAGGCUUUACAAGCAGCAGUAUAUUCUUACUUUGGACCUGGAUCAGGAAAAAUCUGGAUGGAUGAAGUGCAGUGUAAAGGAUCAGAGUCUACACUGAAGGACUGUAGAUCAAAAAAAUGGGGUAAACAUAAUAGCGGCUGUAACAGUCAUAGUUAUGAUGCUGGAGUCAGAUGUUCAGAAACCAUAAACUAUGGACGAUUUACAAGACUUGCUGAUGGACCUCAUCUGUGCUCUGGGAGGUUAGAGGUGCUUUAUGG